AUUGAACGCUGGCGGCAUGCCUUACACAUGCAAGUCGAACGGUAACAGGGUUUCGGGUGCCUAUGAGUGGUGGAGGGGUGCGUAAUGCAUCGGAAUGCAUCGGGAGGUGGUUUUUCAUGGAGCGUAAGGUGUGCUAAUUUCGCCUGAUACCUGAGACUGACAGCGGGUGAACGCGCAGCAACGUCUGACCUUGCGCGUUUGGAUCGGCCGAUGUCGGAUUAGCUAGUUGGCGGGGUAAAGGCCUACCAAGGCGACGAUCCGUAGCUGGUCUGAGAGGAUGAUCAGCCACACUGGAACUGAGACACGGCCCAGACUCCUACGGGAGGCAGCAGUGGGGAAUAUUGGACAAUGGGCGCAAGCCUGAUCCAGCAAUGCCGCGUGGGGGAAGAAGGCCUUCGGGUUGUAAACCCCUUUUGUCAGGAACGAAACGCUGUCCGCUAAUACCGGGCGCUAAUGACGGUACCUACAGAAUAAGCACCGGCUAACUACGUG
rnacentral:rRNA from 1 species